rnacentral:rRNA from 1 species
GACGAACGCUGGCGGCGUGCUUAACACAUGCAAGUCGAACGGAAAGGCCCUGCUUUUGUGGGGUGCUCGAGUGGCGAACGGGUGAGUAACACGUGAGUAACCUGCCCUUGACUUUGGGAUAACUUCAGGAAACUGGGGCUAAUACCGGAUAGGAGCUCCUGCUGCAUGGUGGGGGUUGGAAAGUUUCGGCGGUUGGGGAUGGACUCGCGGCUUAUCAGCUUGUUGGUGGGGUAGUGGCUUACCAAGGCUUUGACGGGUAGCCGGCCUGAGAGGGUGACCGGCCACCUGGGGCCUGAGAUACGGAGCAGACGCCUACGGGAGGCAGCAGUGGGGAAUAUUGCACAAUGGGGGGAAGCGUGAUGCAGAAACGCCGCGUGCGGGAUGACGGCCUUCGGGUUGUAAACCGCUUUCGCCUGUGACGAAGCGUGAGUGACGGUAAUGGGUAAAGAAGCACCGGCUAACUACGUG